rnacentral:rRNA from 1 species
CCGACGGUGAGAGGUGAAAGCUGGGGGAGCAAACCGGAUUAGAUACCCGGGUAGUCCCAGCUGUAAACGAUGCAAACUCGAUGAUGCGUUGGCUUAUUGCUAGCGCAGUGUCGCAGGGAAGCCGUUAAGUUUGCCGCCUGGGAAGUACGUACGCAAGUAUGAAACUUAAAGGAAUUGGCGGGGGAGCACCACAAGGGGUGAAGCCUGCGGUUCAAUUGGAGUCAACGCCAGAAAUCUUACCCGGAGAGACAGCAGAAUGAAGGUCAAGCUGAAGACUUUACCAGACAAGCUGAGAGGUGGUGCAUGGCCGUCGCCAGCUCGUGCCGUGAGAUGUCCUGUUAAGUCAGGUAACGAGCGAGAUCCCUGCCUCUAGUUGCCACCAUUACUCUCAGGAGUAGUGGGGCGAAUUAGCGGGACCGCCGCAGUUAAUGCGGAGGAAGGAAGGGGCCACGGCAGGUCAGUAUGCCCCGAAACUCUGGGGCCACACGCGGGCUGCAAUGGUAACGACAAUUGGUUUCGAAUCCGAAAGGAUGAGGUAAUCCUCAAACGUUACCACAGUUAUGACUGAGGGCUGCAACUCGCCCUCACGAAUAUGGAAUCCCUAGUAACUGCGUGUCAUUAUCGCGCGGUGAAUACGUCCCUGCUCCUUGCACACACCGCCCGU